rnacentral:rRNA from 1 species
UACGUAGGGGGCGAGCGUUGUCCGGAUUUACUGGGCGUAAAGGGUGAGUAGGCGGUUAUAUAUGUCAGGUGUAAAAGGCGUAGGCUCAACCUACGUAUGCACUUGAAACUGUAUAACUUGAGUGCAGGAGAGGUAAGCGGAAUUCCUAGUGUAGCGGUGAAAUGCGUAGAUAUUAGGAGGAACACCGGUGGCGAAGGCGGCUUACUGGACUGUAACUGACGCUGAGUCACGAAAGCGUGGGUAGCAAACAGGAUUAGAUACCCUGGUAGUCCACGCUGUAAACGAUGAGUGCUAGGUGUUGGGUAGCAAUACUCAGUGCCGCAGUUAACACACUAAGCACUCCGCCUGGGGAGUACGUACGCAAGUAUGAA